ACAUUUCAGGCUCCAGAGCAGAUUAGGUCUGCAGUGAAGUCAACUUUGGUUACCAUGGGAACCAUCAGUGCAUCUUUCAGAGCUCUGUGAACUUUGUGAAGACGACCAUUAAACAGGACUGAAUCAAACUUCAUUUACAUCCCAGCGAGCCGAUUCACUGAUGGAGGAAUUUGUGGAAGAUGAGCACCAGCAGCAAAUGCUGACACUGGCAGAGGAAAGUCCCUUUGACCUGUUAUAUAAGGAGGAGACAUGCAUUCCAAGAAAGCCGAAUAUAAACCUAUAGCGAAAUAGAGUAAAGAUGGCAGCUGGUCAAGCCCUAACCCCAAAGAGCCAAUA